rnacentral:rRNA from 1 species
GUAGGUGGCAAGCGUUGUCCGGAAUUAUUGGGCGUAAAGCGCGCGCAGGCGGUUCUUUAAGUCUGAUGUGAAAGCCCACGGCUCAACCGUGGAGGGUCAUUGGAAACUGGAGAACUUGAGUACAGAAGAGGAAAGCGGGAUUCCACGUGUAGCGGUGAAAUGCGUAGAGAUGUGGAGGAACACCAGUGGCGAAGGCGGCUUUCUGGUCUGUAACUGACGCUGAGGCGCGAAAGCGUGGGGAGCAAACAGGGAUUAGAUACCCUGGUAGUCCACGCCGUAAACGAUGAGCGCUAAGUGUUAGGGGGGUUUCCGCCCCCUUAGUGCUGCAGCUAACGCAUUAAGCACUCCGCCUGGGGAGUACGGCCGCAAGGCUG